rnacentral:rRNA from 1 species
CAAGGUAGGACUACCCGCCUGAACUUAAGCAUAUCAAUAAA